rnacentral:pre_miRNA from 1 species
CAAAGAAGCAUACAAGAGUGAUAUUGAUUCGGCUCAUCAUGCAACUGCUCAUGCAAAUGCAACAGAAAGUGCUGAGCCGAAAGCAAUAUCACGCCAUGUCUACUCCUCA